rnacentral:rRNA from 1 species
UACGUAGGGGGCAAGCGUUGUCCGGAUUUAUUGGGCGUAAAGAGCGUGUAGGCGGCUUUGCAAGUCCGUUGUGAAAACUCGAGGCUCAACCUCGAGACGCCGGUGGAAACUGCAAAGCUAGAGUCCGGAAGAGGAGAGUGGAAUUCCUGGUGUAGCGGUGAAAUGCGUAGAUAUCGUAAGGAAGACCAGUGGCGAAGGCGGGUCUCUGGACAGUUCCUGACGCUGAGGCACGAAGGUCAGGGGAGCAAACGGG